rnacentral:rRNA from 1 species
GCUAACUACUCCUACUCUAAGGGCACCAGAUCCCAUCUGAACUUGAAAGUUAAGCAGGUCAGCUCUGGUUAGUAUUUGGAUGUGAAACUGCCAACAAAUACCAGCUGUAGAUUGUA